rnacentral:lncRNA from 1 species
CCUGCUCAACAUCUCCCUUUUCAGACUUCCAGAUCUCCUACCCUCUACUUUGUUUACCAUUGCAUCCAUACCUCCUACACAUUCUCUUCCUCUUCCUGCUUGGAGAGGUAAUGCUCGAACAACACGAAACCAUGAUUUUAUUCAAGCAGCACAUAAAGCCAAGCUAUCUGGUGUGAGCACACAUUGUAGCAUUUUGGCCUUGCAAACAGCUCAUAUUUCUACUUCCCCUCCUACCACAUCCCAUUCUCCUCCCUCCUGCUGUCUCUCCCCACCACCCACCCACCCACCCCCCAUCCUGCUUGGCUACCUCCCCCAACACUGCCUAAUCUCAUUCUAUUCCAACCUUCGCCAUCUGGUUCUUCAACAUCUGUGGUCUCCAUUUAAACUACUAUGAGCUCACCUGUCAGAUGCUGUCCAAAGGUAUGUUCCCCCCACCUUCGUGAGCCAUUCUGUACAGCUACUGCUCUGCAUCCGAGCUGCCUACUCAUGCCCACAUGUCCGUCUGCAUGCCCGCAACGCUCUGCUGUACCUCACACAAGAGUGUCGAGCGGAGUCUUUGGGCUCCUUCCUGCCCGGGGUGGUCGACAUGUUGGAGGUUCUGCUCACGGAGCACAAGCUGCACAGCCAGGAACUUGCACUGUUAAUCCUCACUUCGCUCACCCCUGACCCUUUUGUCCGACGUUCGAUCAACCAAGGCAGCUUGUCCCACCCCGUGAGAGAGCUGGGUGCCGAGCUUGAUAAAGUACGAGAUCUUGUCGCUUCACUACUCACUCGAUGCCAAUCACCUUCACCGACACCCUCACCCGGAGCCGUGCUGGAUCCCUCACCCGGAGCCGUGCUGGAUCCCUCACCUGGAGCCGUGCUGGAUCCCUCAUGAAACCGCCAAAAAAACCCCACAUCCCUCAGCAGGGAUCAAGGCUUCACAGCUGGAACUGGAAGUGCUUUCACCUCCAUUAGUUCUUCCGAAAUCCAAUACAAACAUCACUAACUCCACCUCUUUAAUGUAUCAGCUGUGUGUUCCAUUAACGAUUAGCUUGUAGAGCGCUCGCCAAGCGGCUUAAGCACUCCGACGAAACGGCUGAUCAGGAACGGCUGGCUUAGCAAGCACCGGCUAGCUGAUUGGUCAUGGAACACACCUCAGGUGCAAUUUUUCCGCCAUUCAAGAACUGUAACCUGAGUUUGUGUUCAGGAUUUAUGACCAUAAAACAAGCAUCACUUGGAGCUGUUUAUUUCACAUUCAACGUUAUUAAUUAUAUAAUUUUUCCACCGUGUUUUCAAACACAGACAGCAGAAAACUUCUUCUUCUUCCUCUUUUUCUUCCUCUUCUUCUUCCUCUUCAACCUCUUCUUCUAUUCUUCUUCUUCUUCUUUCGUUUUCAGCAUGUGGCUCUGAAUAGCAUCAUUGGCUCAGAAGUGAGCGCAUACUGUGCCACUGAUACAACACCAUCUGUAGGUUAGGACAGGCAAUUAGAUUUGGCCAUGCUGCCGGCGAUAGCUCGCCUACUCUUCACCAAGGACAUUGUGGGAUCUUUAACUUCCACCAACUAAUUCCGACAGACGAGACGCCGAGUUUAACAUCCAUUCCGAGGGACGUGCCACACAUGACGAAUCACCCUGCAUGUGAAACGCCAAGAUGACAAUUUACAUCUGCAUCGGGAUUCGAACCUCGGGCAGACAACUCAAAGGGAAAUACACAUUCCUCCAGGCUAUCCUUGCCAGUCUUUAAAAACCUUUAUAGUUUUCGUCGUGACCUUGUCUUGUGAGUUUUCGUCGAACUUGUCUUACCGAGUGCUUGAGGCCUAUCCAUCUCCCCCUCGGUGUAUGAUCGUGUUUAUUUGUAUUUUCUCCCCAUUACCUUCAAUUUCUAUCUUCCCCACUUUCCCAACGCCCCCAUCCCUCCCAACUAAACACUCUAUUUCUUGUCUUAAAUAAUAAAAUAAAAAACUACCUUUCUCCUUGCACACACAAGUCUCGAUUUUUCUUCUUAUUCUGCAUCCUCCUCUUCUUCUUCCUCCUGCCGGCACACCAUCUUUAUUCGACUGAGCUGACCCUCUCUCGCCAUGACCUUCACGGUCUCUUCCGAUCUACAACCUUCCAUUCCCGAAUCUUACCUGUUCUUCAAAAAUACAUCAAAAAAUAAUAAUCUUCCUUGUCUCCUUUCGAUCUCGACACCUCCUGUAAUCACGUGUCUCUCUCUACUCUUCCUGGUACUUUUCAUCGACCCAGCAGCUUCACACUGUGUUUACCGUUCCAAAUUCACCACACACUUCCACGAUUUUACUUCAACCUUCCUUUUUCCAAACGUUACGCAAUCCGAUUGAAAAUAAAUAAUUUCACUUUUGAUGAUACACCUCCUAUAGCCACGUCCCCCCCCC